GUCUACAGCCAUGCCACCCCGAACAAGUCUUAUCUCGGAAGCUAAGCAGGGUCGGGCCUGGUUAGUACUUGGACGGGAGACCACCUAGGAUGGUGUACACUAGAUGCUGUAGGUG
rnacentral:rRNA from 1 species